UCCGGUUUGUCACCGGCAGUCUGGCGUGAGUCCCCAACUUAAUGCUGGCAACACGCCACGGGGGUUGCGCUCGUUGCGGGACUUAACCCAACAUCUCACGACACGAGCUGACGACAGCCAUGCAGCAUCUGUGCACGGGCUCCGAAGAGGGCGCGCUGUUUCCCGAGGCUUUCACCGAGAUGUCAAACCCAGGUAAGGUUCUUCGCGUUGCAUCGAAUUAAACCACAUACUCCACCGCUUGUGCGGGCCCCCGUCAAUUCCUUUGAGUUUCAGUCUUGCGACCGUACUCCCCAGGCGGCGAACUUAACGCGUUAGCUUCGAUACUGCGUGCCAAAUUGCACCCAACAUCCAGUUCGCAUCGUUUAGGGCGUGGACUAC
rnacentral:misc_RNA from 1 species